CUUAGCAGAGAUGCUUUGGUGGCCUUCGGGAACUCUGAGACAGGUGCUGCAUGGCUGUCGUCAGCUCGUGUUGUGAAAUGUUGGGUUAAGUCCCGCAACGAGCGCGAACCCUUAUCCUUGUUGCCAGCGGCUCGGCCGGGAACUCAAAGGAGACUGCCGGUGAUAAACCGGAGGAAGGUGGGGAUGACGUCAAGUCAUCAUGGCCCUUACGGCCAGGGCUACACACGUGCUACAAUGGCGCAUACAAAGAGAAGCGACCUCGCGAGAGCAAGCGGACCUCAUAAAGUGCGUCGUAGUCCGGAUUGGAGUCUGCAACUCGACUCCAUGAAGUCGGAAUCGCUAGUAAUCGUAGAUCAGAAUGCUACGGUGAAUACGUUCCCGGGCCUUGUACACACCGCCCGUCACACCAUGGGAGUGGGUUGCAAAAGAAGUAGGUAGCUUAACCUUCGGGAGGGCGCUUACCACUUUGUGAUUCAUGACUGGGGUGAAGUCGUAACAAGGUAGGCGUAGCGAG
rnacentral:rRNA from 1 species